rnacentral:rRNA from 1 species
UACGAAGGGGGCUAGCGUUGCUCGGAAUCACUGGGCGUAAAGCGCACGUAGGCGGGUCGUUAAGUCGGGGGUGAAAUCCUGGAGCUCAACUCCAGAACUGCUUUCGAUACUGGCGACCUUGAGUCCAGGAGAGGUGAGUGGAACUCCGAGUGUAGAGGUGAAAUUCGUAGAUAUUCGGAAGAACACCAGUGGCGAAGGCGGCUCACUGGCCCGGUACUGACGCUGAGGUGCGAAAGCGUGGGGAGCAAACAGG